rnacentral:rRNA from 1 species
GGGCAUGGCGCGUGCUAUACAUGCAGUCGAGCGGACAGAUGGGAGCUUGCUCCCUGAUGUUAGCGGCGGACGGGUGAGUAACACGUGGGUAACCUGCCUGUAAGACUGGGAUAACUCCGGGAAACCGGGGCUAAUACCGGAUGGUUGUUUGAACCGCAUGGUUCAAACAUAAAAGGUGGCUUCGGCUACCACUUACAGAUGGACCCGCGGCGCAUUAGCUAGUUGGUGAGGUAACGGCUCACCAAGGCAACGAUGCGUAGCCGACCUGAGAGGGUGAUCGGCCACACUGGGACUGAGACACGGCCCAGACUCCUACGGGAGGCAGCAGUAGGGAAUCUUCCGCAAUGGACGAAAGUCUGACGGAGCAACGCCGCGUGAGUGAUGAAGGUUUUCGGAUCGUAAAGCUCUGUUGUUAGGGAAGAACAAGUACCGUUCGAAUAGGGCGGUACCUUGACGGUACCUAACCAGAAAGCCACGGCUAACUACGUGCCAGCAGCCGCGGUAAUACGUAGGUGGCAAGCGUUGUCCGGAAUUAUUGGGCGUAAAGGGCUCGCAGGCGGUUUCUUAAGUCUGAUGUGAAAGCCCCCGGCUCAACCGGGGAGGGUCAUUGGAAACUGGGGAACUUGAGUGCAGAAGAGGAGAGUGGAAUUCCACGUGUAGCGGUGAAAUGCGUAGAGAUGUGGAGGAACACCAGUGGCGAAGGCGACUCUCUGGUCUGUAACUGACGCUGAGGAGCGAAAGCGUGGGGAGCGAACAGGAUUAGAUACCCUGGUAGUCCACGCCGUAAACGAUGAGUGCUAAGUGUUAGGGGGUUUCCGCCCCUUAGUGCUGCAGCUAACGCAUUAAGCACUCCGCCUGGGGAGUACGGUCGCAAGACUGAAACUCAAAGGAAUUGACGGGGGCCCGCACAAGCGGUGGAGCAUGUGGUUUAAUUCGAAGCAACGCGAAGAACCUUACCAGGUCUUGACAUCCUCUGACAAUCCUAGAGAUAGGACGUCCCCUUCGGGGGCAGAGUGACAGGUGGUGCAUGGUUGUCCUCAGCUCGUGUCCUGAAAAUGUUGGGUUAAGUCCCCCAACGAGCGCAACCCUUGAUCUUAGUUGCCAACAUUCAGUUGGGCACUCUAAGGUGACUGCCGGUGACA